AAAAUCCUGGGUUGAGUUCAAUAUCGUAGCGGCUACGUAGCUGCUAUCAAUAUCUAUGUAGCAACUAGUCUAUAGCUACACGUUCAAUAGUCAAAAUCUACGUAGCACUAUACGUAGCUGCUACGAUAUUGAACUCAACCCAGGACUCCGAAGUGUAUUUGUGGAUUUAAUUUCCGCAUGAACCACCAAAAGCCGAAUAUUUGAAGGCCUAUAGUUUAUAAGAACUGCAAUAGCUGAUUAAAAGUUAAAGAUGAUUGUUCAGAAUUGUACGUUUAAUAAUUUCAUCUGCCGACAUGAUUGCAGAAAAAAAGUCGAAAAUAAAAAAAAAAUAUGAGGGAACACACGUGCAUUUAAUAAUUUUAUGCCUUAACGUACAGUAAAAAAAUAUAUUAAUACUCAACCCUAACAUACUUUUUGGCUUAAUGCGAGUUGAUAAGUUUUCACUGUUACUCCUAAAUGAUGAGCGUUUGGAAUACAUCAGAACUGUGUGUGUUUAAUAAUUUUCUAGCUCAAUUUCUGCAUACCAUUAUCAUAGUAACAAAUAAUAUUGUUUGUAACAAAUCAUAUAUGACAUCUGAGUUUAUUACUUUUACUUUUAAAAUACAUUAAUAAAAGUUUGUCUAAAUACUCGAGUUACGGUCAUCUUUCAAAGUUACGACCAUCAUCCAAAAUAUUAUAGUUGAAUUUACGACCAUCACACAUUUAAAGUUACGACCAUCAUGCUCCAACUUUUGAAUGACUAUUUUACGAAAAUUGGAAUGAUUUUGUCUAUCAAAUUUGGUUUCAAUAUCAACGCACUCACGAUAAGUGUAUAUGAGACAAGCGGUUUGGCUCAAAUGAACCUUUUACUGCACGAAAAUAUGAAAAGAAAAACUUAUCCCUAGAGUUGUCUCCCAUCUCCGGAUGGUCGUAACUUUUAGUU
rnacentral:lncRNA from 1 species